rnacentral:rRNA from 1 species
UACAGAGGUCUCGAGCGUUAGGCGGAAUCACUGGGCUUAAAGCGUGUGUAGGCGGAUCGUUAAGUACCUUGUGAAAUCCCACGGCUUAACCGUGGAACUGCUUGGUAUACUGGCGGUCUUGAGCCAGCUAGGGGCUACCGGAACAAAUGGUGGAGCGGUGAAAUGCGUAGAGAUCCGGAGGAACACCGACGGCGCAGGCAGCGUCCUGGCCGCUUGCUGACACUGAGGCACGAAAGCUGGGGGAGCAAACAGG